rnacentral:rRNA from 2 species
AUGGACGCAAGUCUGAUGGAGCAACGCCGCGUGAGUGAAGAAGGCUUUCGGGUCGUAAAACUCUGUUGUUGGAGAAGAAUGGUCGGCAGAGUAACUGUUGUCGGCGUGACGGUAUCCAACCAGAAAGCCACGGCUAACUACGUGCCAGCAGCCGCGGUAAUACGUAGGUGGGCAAGCGUUAUCCGGAUUUAUUGGGCGUAAAGCGAGCGCAGGCGGUUUUUUAAGUCUGAUGUGAAAGCCCUCGGCUUAACCGAGGAAGUGCAUCGGAAACUGGGAAACUUGAGUACAGAAGAGGACAGUGGAACUCCAUGUGUAGCGGUGAAAUGCGUAGAUAUAUGGAAGAACACCAGUGGCGAAGGCGGCUGUCUGGUCUGUAACUGACGCUGAGGCUCGAAAGCAUGGGUAGCGAACAGGAUUAGAUACCCUGGUAGUCCAUGCCGUAAACGAUGAAUGCUAGGUGUUGGAGGGUUUCCGCCCUUCAGUGCCGCAGCUAACGCAUUAAGCAUUCCGCCUGGGGAGUACGACCGCAAGGUUGAAACUCAAAGGAAUUGACGGGGGCCCGCACAAGCGGUGGAGCAUGUGGUUUAAUUCGAAGCAACGCGAAGAACCUUACCAGGUCUUGACAUCUUUUGAUCACCUGAGAGAUCAGGUUUCCCCUUCGGG